UGCCAGCAGCCGCGGUAAUACGGAGGGUACAAGCGUUAAUCGGAAUCAUUGGGCGUAAAGCGCGCGUAGGCGGUUUUUCAAGUUGGAUGUGAAAGCCCUGGGCUCAACUCAGGAAGUGCAUCCAAAACUGUAUAACUUGAGUACUGGAGGGGGUAGUGGAAUUCCCGGUGUAGAGGUGAAAUUCGUAGAUAUCGGGAGGAAUACCGGUGGCGAAGGCGACUACCUGGCCAGAUACUGACACUGAGGUGCGAAAGCGUGGGGAGCAAACAGGAUUAGAUA
rnacentral:rRNA from 1 species